rnacentral:tRNA from 1 species
GGGCGUGUAGCUCAGUUGGUAGAGCGUGUCAUUAGCAUGUCCUACUCCUACUUGACAAGGUCUUUGGUUCGAUUCCUAACUCGUCCA